UACGGAGGGGGCUAGCGUUGUUCGGAAUUACUGGGCGUAAAGCGCGCGUAGGCGGACCUGCAAGUCGGGGUGAAAGCCCGAGGCUCAACCUCGGAACUGCCUUCGAUACUGCGGGUCUCGAGUCCGGGAGAGGUGAGUGGAAUUCCCGAGUGUAGCGGUGAAAUGACGUAGAUAUUGGGAGGAACACCAGUGGCGAAGGCGGCUCACUGGACCGGUACUGACGCUGAGGCGACG
rnacentral:rRNA from 1 species